UACAGAGGGGGCAAGCGUUGUUCGGAAUUACUGGGCGUAAAGGGCGCGUAGGCGGCCUGUUAAGUCAGACGUGAAAUCCCUCGGCUCAACCGGGGAACUGCGUCUGAUACUGGCGGGCUUGAAUUCGGGAGAGGGAUGUGGAAUUCCAGGUGUAGCGGUGAAAUGCGUAGAUAUCUGGAGGAACACCGGUGGCGAAGGCGGCAUCCUGGACCGACAUUGACGCUGAGGCGCGAAAGCUAGGGGAGCAAACGGG
rnacentral:rRNA from 1 species